rnacentral:rRNA from 1 species
AAUCUUCCGCAAUGGACGAAAGUCUGACGGAGCAACGCCGCGUGAGUGAUGAAGGUCUUCGGAUCGUAAAACUCUGUUGUUAGGGAAGAACAAGUAUCGUUCGAAUAGGGCGGUACCGUGACGGUACCUAACCAGAAAGCCACGGCUAACUACGUGCCAGCAGCCGCGGUAAUACGUAGGUGGCAAGCGUUAUCCGGGAUUUUUGGGCUUAAAAGGGGGGGAGGCGGUUUCGUAAGUCUGAUAGGAAAGGCCACGGCUCAACCGUGGGGGGUCAUUGGAAACUGGGAAGCUUGAGUGCAGAAGAGGAGAGUGGAAUUCCAUGUGUAGCGGUGAAAUGCGUAGAGAUAUGGAGGAACACCAGUGGCGAAGGCGACUCUCUGGUCUGCAACUGACGCUGAGGCGCGAAAGCGUGGGGAGCGAACA